AUAUUCAUGUUGUAAUUGUAUAUUUAUGUUGUACCUGUAUAUUUCCAUCAGCAGGAGACAGAAUGAGAGAACCUACUUUCUUGUUUCUUCAGAAAAUCCACCUCUAUCUGUACGGGUCCAAGACUCCCAGAAGAAUCUUCCAUGAUAAAAUGUAUUGCCCAUGAGGUAACUCCUGAGGAUAAUUUGAAAACAAGAACUAAACUCACUGGUAAGUUAUUUUCCAAUUAGAGAAAUUCCCUGAAGGGUCAGAAACACAUUGAUGCAUUGUCU
rnacentral:lncRNA from 1 species